GAUGAAGAACGUAGCGAAAUGCGAUAAUUAAUGUGAAUUACAGAAUUCCGUGAAUCAUCGAGUCUUUGAACGCACAUUGCGCCUCAUGGCAUUCCGUGAGGCAUGCCCAUCUCAGCGUUAGAAAAUAUUCUCAAAUUUUAGUUUUGUGCUAAAAUUUGGAUCAUGUCAAGGAAGCUAUUACUAUUAUUGUGAUCGCUCUUUGGAAAUUGAUAGGUCUUUGAGUUGCUACUCAUAGAACGUGAUGAAUCUUUCUUCGUUCUAUUGUAAUUCACUCUGGUAGUCCUAAAACUUGUAUGCCUGUGGCAUAUCUUGUAAUUUGACCUGAGAUUGGGUAGGGAUACCCGCUGAACUUAAGCAUAUCAAUAUGCGGAGGA
rnacentral:misc_RNA from 1 species